CAGACAACCAGGAUGUUGGCUUAGAAGCAGCCAUUCAUUUAAAGAGUGCGUAAUAGCUCACUGGUCGAGUGAAGUUGCGCGGAAAAUUACCGGGGCUAAGUUAUACACCGAAAUUGCGGAUUCAUUAAGAAAUUAAUGAGUGGUAGAGGAGCGUUCUAUACAGGAUGAAGUAUGAUCGAGAGGACAUAUGGACAGUAUAGAAGAGAGAAUGCCGGAAUGAGUAGCGAGAGCAAAGUGAGAAUCUUUGCCGUCGAAAAUCUAAGGUUUCCUGGGGAAGGUUCGUCCGCCCAGGGUAAGUCGGGACCUAAGGUGAGGCCGAAGGGCGUAGCCGAUGGACAGCAGGUUAAGAUUCCUGCACCAGUAUACAUGUAUAAUGCAUAAGAGGACACAUUUGAAGAAGAUGAGCGAGGAAGAGGAAAAACUCGUAUGGCAACAUAUAGUGAAAUAAAGUAACGAAUCAUCAAGAGGCGAGUGGCGAGAAAAGUCUUAUGUAGUUGUGUAGACUGCCCGUACCGCAAACCGACACAGGUAGAUGAGGAGAGGAUCCUAAGACGAGCGGGAGAAGCAUUGUUAAGGAACUCGGCAAAUUGACCCCGUAACUUAGGGAUAAGGGGUGCUGGUGUAAAAACCAGUCGCAGUAAAUAGGCCCAAGCAACUGUUUAACAAAAACACAGGUUUCUGCUAAAUCGCAAGAUGAAGUAUAGGAGCUGACUCCUGCCCAGUGCUGGAAGGUUAAGGGGAAAGGUUAGGAAUAAUUCAUUAUAUCCGAAGCUUUGAACUCAAGCCCCAGUGAACGGCGGCCGUAACUAUAACGGUCCUAAGGUAGCGAAAUUCCUUGUCAGGUAAGUUCUGACCCGCACGAAAGGAGUAAUGAUUUGGGCACUGUCUCAACAAUGUACCCGGCGAAAUUGUAGUACUAGUGAAGAUGCUAGUUACCUGCGACAAGACGGAAAGACCCCAUGGAGCUUUACUAUAGCCUGAUAUUGGGCUUUGGUAUCUUAUGUACAGGAUAGGUGGGAGACUAUGAGAUUAAGACGCUAGUCUUAAAGGAGUCAACCUUGGAAUACCACCCUUAAGAUAUUAGAGUUCUAACUUGUGAUCAUAAGCUGGUCAGAGGACAUUGUCAGGUGGGUAGUUUGACUGGGGCGGUCACCUCCUAAAGAGUAACGGAGGUGCGCAAAGGUUUCCUCGGCACGGUCAGAAAUCGUGCUAUUGAGUGUAAAGGCAUAAGGAAGCUUAACUGAGAGAGAGACAUCUCGAGCAGAUACGAAAGUAGGUCUUAGUGAUCCGGUGGUAGAAAAUGGAAUUGCCAUCGCUCAACGGAUAAAAGUUACCCUGGGGAUAACAGGCUUAUCUCCCCCAAGAGUUCACAUCGACGGGGAGGUUUGGCACCUCGAUGUCGGCUCAUCGCAUCCUGGGGCUGUAGUCGGUCCCAAGGGUUGGGCUGUUCGCCCAUUAAAGCGGUACGCGAGCUGGGUUCAGAACGUCGUGAGACAGUUCGGUCCCUAUCUGUCGCAGGCGCAGGAUAUUUGAAAGGAGCUGUCCUUAGUACGAGAGGACCAGGAUGGACAUACCAAUGGUGCAACAGUUGUCACACCAGUGGCACAGCUGUGUAGCUAAGUAUGGAAGGGAUAAACGCUGAAAGCAUCUAAGCGUGAAGCCCCCCUUAAGAUAAGAUAUCCCACAACGUCAAGUUGGUAAGAUUCCAGUAAGACUAACUGGUUGAUAGGUUAGAGGUGUAAGUGUGGUGACACAUUUAGCUGACUAAUACUAAUAAUCGAGGGCUUAACCAA
rnacentral:rRNA from 1 species